AUUGAUUAGAGCUAAACUGAACUGAAAUUAAGUUGAUCAGAACAGGCCCUCAAUCAAAUUUAACUCAGUCUAUAAUUUAACCCAAUUAAUAAUUCAACCCAAACAAAUUCAAUCCAAUUAAUAAUUCAACCCAAACAAAUUCAACCCAAUCCAAUUUAUCCCUUCAGUCCUCCACUCCUCAUUCGUCUCUUCUUUCUCAUCUCAAUUUCGGUGCUCCUCUCAUCUCUCUCAAUUUCGGUGCUCGAUCAUCUGAAGCAAUUCAAACUAAUUGAUAAUAGGUAUUGGGAAGAAAAAUUUUUAAGCCAAAGGUCCAAGGAGAUUAAUCAAAGUCAAGGGAAGAAAAAGGUACUAAGAAGUUCAGUAGAGAAUCAAGAUUUCAAGGAGGUUUAGGAGUGAAAAAGCUAGCAAGCAAGCAAGAGUCCCCUAAUUUGCAGGAAUAGAAAGAAAAGGUGGGAAGGAUUUCUUACUUGGGUAUGCGUGUGAUUCAAGUAGUUAAAAAUCAAGCAUGGAAGCUGGACUUUUGAGUUAUUUUGUUUUUAUAAAUAGUUUGCUUAUUAUUGGGUUAUGUAAAUUUCUAAAAUUGGAUUUAGUUAUCUGUCAGGAUGUAAUAGUUGGUAGUUAUUUUCUUUUGCUAAUUAUCAAGUAAGUUAAUUAUGAUAUCAUUAAGCUACCCCGUUGGUGUUUGGAGGUAGUUUCAGUAACACCACUCUGGUUAGAUGCUUAGCUCAUGUUCAACUAAGGGUUUAUGAGCGGCUACACUUCCUUUUUGGGCAAUAAACUCUCUCUAUCUCUCUUCUCUCACAUGGGUCCCUUUUCUUUUUACUCUCUACCUUUCUCUUCUCCAAAAAAAUGCCUAGAAGUCCGUGAUUGAAAAGUGUAGCGAAUAAAAUGAAACGGAGAAAGUAUGUAAGAUUUGUAACUCUCUCACACCCAUUCCAUUUAAAUGAUUUAUUAACGGUCAAAGAAAGUCAUGUUACUUGAAUAAAAUAUUGCAUUGGAUUAUGUGUAGACUGUAGAGUAUAUGCUUUGUGUUAUAAAAAAUUUAGUAAGAAAUGAAAUUCGUUUUACUUGAAUAAAUAUCAGAUUUAUGUGCAACAUAUGUUUUAUAUAAACUAUAAGUAUUAUAACAAAUCACAAUUAUAUCAAAGUUUUCACAAAUUAGUUGAUCAAAAAAGUGAAUCGUAAUAUUAUUAUCUUAGAUAAUCUAAGAUAUUUUUAGAGAAAUCUUUUAUCU